rnacentral:rRNA from 1 species
AGUGAACGCUGGCGGUAGGCCUAACACAUGCAAGUCGAACGGCAGCACAGUAAGAGCUUGCUCUUACGGGUGGCGAGUGGCGGACGGGUGAGGAAUACAUCGGAAUCUACUUUUUCGUGGGGGAUAACGUAGGGAAAUUUACGCUAAUACCGCAUACGACCUACGGGUGAAAGCAGGGGAUCUUCGGACCUUGCGCGAUUGAAUUAGCCGAUGUCGGAUUAGCUAGUUGGCGGGGUAAAGGCCCACCAAGGCGACGAUCCGUAGCUGGUCUGAGAGGAUGAUCAGCCACACUGGAACUGAGACACGGUCCAGACUCCUACGGGAGGCAGCAGUGGGGAAUAUUGGACAAUGGGCGAAAGCCUGAUCCAGCCAUACCGCGUGGGUGAAGAAGGCCUUCGGGUUGUAAAGCCCUUUUGUUGGGAAAGAAAAGCAGCAGGUUAAUACCCCGCUGUUCUGACGGUACCCAAAGAAUAAGCACCGGCUAACUUCGUG